GACGAAGGUGGCGAGCGUUGUUCGGAAUCACUGGGCAUAAAGCGCACGUAGGCGGCGGCGUAAGUUGGAUGUGAAAUCCCCCGGCCCAACCGGGGAACUGCGUCCAGUACUGCGUUGCUUGAGGAUCCAAGGGGUGCAUGGAAUUCCCGGUGGAGCGGUGAAAUGCGUUGAGAUCGGAAGGAACGCCCGUGGCGAAAGCGAGGUCCUGGACGUCUACUGACGCUGAGACGCGAAAGCUAGGGGAGCAAACGGG
rnacentral:rRNA from 1 species